rnacentral:lncRNA from 1 species
AAGACGAAAGUGGGACACGUAAUUGUCAUGAUUCUUCUGGUAAAGAUGUUUGAGAGGAGCAAGAUGGUGCAGAUAACUACUGGUUUGGAUCUGUUGAGCUAUUCUGUCUGUAUUUUCCUGUCUUCUGCAUCGCUGUACAUCCUUCAUAAUCUACACAAGUAAGAGUAAGGCUCUCGAACAAAUUAUGUAUAGUAGAUAAUGUAAUGUUAGCUUACACAUUCAAGUGAAUAUGCAUAUUCCAAUAAACAUCCCAGUAGCUAUGCUUCUAACUUAUAAUCCCUGGACAAAAAUAUCAGGCACUAGUCUACUAAGUCUGCACUGUGUCAUCAGAUGAGACACAAGAAUAUUAUACUUAAUAAAAGUUGAACUCGCUAAAUCUUUUCUGUAGCUUUCUAUAUUUAAAUUCUUAUUACUGCCAUGUUUUUCUGUUCAUUUUCUUCAAUAUCAGCUUGAAUUGCUUAGUGAUGAAUAAGCCUUAGAGUAGAUGGCAUUUUUGUUUUCUUUCUCCCUCUUUUACUUUUCCACUUUUGGCUUCUAGUAUUUCUGUUUACAACAUUACCAAGAUAACUGGAUGAUUCUGUAGGAAAGGCCUAAAUGGAUGAAAAUUAGCUCACUCGAUGAGCUCAAGACGAAAGUGGGACACGUAAUUGUCAUGAUUCUUCUGGUAAAGAUGUUUGAGAGGAGCAAGAUAACCACUGGUUUGGAUCUGUUGAGCUAUUUCUGUCUGUAUUUUCCUGUAUUCUGCUUCUCUGUACAUCCUUCAUAAUCUACACAAGAGUAAGGCUUUCGAACACAUUAUGUAUAGCAGAUAAUGUAACGUUUGUUAGAUUUUCUAUGUAAGUGUUCAUGAUCUUUC